GUUUUUUGUUUUUAUUUUUUUUACUUUUUUGUUUUUUGAGAGAGAUAGGUAGCACGCUACCCGCUUCAUUUACUUCAUUUAGAAAUAAACUUAGCUGAAAAUAUGAAUCAAUUAGGAUUCGAAUUUGGAACCUCGGGUACUAACCACCAAACCCUUUGCCACUUGCUCUAGAGAUGGUUGGUAAAAAACUUCCUUUUCUCACUUGCAGACAACGUUAUUAUCCAGUCGUAGAUGCACAUGAUAUGACAUUUUUGUUUGUCUACAAAUUUUUGACCAAGGAGGGUAAGAAUUAUAGAAAAAUUUUAGUAAGGAGCUUUUCAACGACACUUCAUUAAGAAGCUUUAAUUUAUCAUUACAUGUCAUAUUUAUUUCUAUCUAUGAAUUAUAAUUCUUCCGUCUAAAAUUGUCUUUUAAAAUUUACUAUUUAAAUAUUAUUCAACAAAUUAUUGAAUGGAGAUAAACUAACACGUAACAAUAGAUCUGAUG
rnacentral:lncRNA from 1 species